rnacentral:lncRNA from 1 species
AUGACUUAGCAACUGAACAACAACAGCUUUAGCCACUCAUCAAGUAAGGAUCAAAGAUGGUGUAAGACUGGGUCUCAGAGCUCCUAAAUCCUGAAGGAGGAGAGGAAGCAGAGGGAAACUGCAGACCAUGUCUCCUCCGCACCAAAGGAGAGGCGAACCAGACAGGAGAGUGGAAGCCAGCAGCUUCAGACAGGACGGGACAAAACUCUAAAUACUGUGCUGACACUAUGCCAGUAGCUGGGGGUAAAUGGAAGUGCUGGGAUGAGACCCAGAUGGAUUUGUGGCUUUGAAAGGAUGUGGACAAACAGGGUUGACAGCAAUCGCUGGAAAAAAUAAAUGAGGG